UGAGUUGUUGUAAGUAUCUGUCUUCCAGCCAAGUGGCUACCCACUUCUUCUAAAACAAGCCACAUGUCUCGAUACUCCACCUAAACCGUCGUUUUUUGCUCAUGAGAGAGAGAGAGAUAGGCAGGCGACAACAACACUCACACCACCGCUCCAGCGGUGACGAUAUCAGGCGGAAACGGUGGCAGCGACGACCACUAGGCCCUAGAACGAUUGCUGACUUCCGCCGAAGUGUACGCUACGUUCUCCACCAGACCACAACCACCAUUUUUGCUUCAUCAGUGUUUUCCUCUGUCACAACACCACCCUACAAUGACCACAUUCUUCCACUUUCCAUUGUCACGAAAUCGAUCCCCGGAGAGUUGAUGUUUCAUGAGCCGAUCAGCCCUAAUAACCCACAGAACACAGAUCGAGUGCAAGACUGAAUUGAUGGCAGCCGAGAAGUUGUGUCUCAUACACAAACCCUAACUCAGAUCAACCAUGGUAUGACUGACGACACUCAUCACUUUACAGUUGUUACCAUGAUUGGGUUUGGAGGAUUUGAUUUUGAGUAAAAUUCAAAGCUUAGCUGAUUGUAUUAUUAGAUUCUUGAAAAGUAGUGGUGGAUUAGAUUCUUGAAAAGUAGUGGUGGUAAUAUUUGAGGAUGAAAUCAAGGAUAUUAAAGUAUGAUUUUGUUAUGUUAUUGUGAUUCUAUAUGUUGAUGUUUGAAUGUGAUUAAAAGAUUGUGCUUAGUUUAAUCGAGGUUAAGGUGUUGGUGUUGGCUAAAGUAGAGGUGAGUAGCGAUAAUUGUAUGAGUUAAAGACCCUAGAUGAUAUUAGGUAAUAACAGAGACGAGGGCUUGAGGAACUAAGAUUAGCUUCACUUGCAUGUCUUCUUUUCGAAUACAUCAACUCACUAGGAGAUGAUUGAGACUAUGUUUAAUAUUUCAUUUUUCCGGUGAGGUGGUUGAGUCACUCUCUAUGUUGGGGAUGGUAUGAACAUGAAACAAAUUGUUGUUUUGUUUUUGUGUAUGAUUUUUAAUCUAUCAGGAGUCGCAUUUCUAAAGGCUGCCCAAGAAGGAAGUUAUGAUGCUGUCAUAGUUAAAUCUUCAGAUCCUAAAAGUAUACCCCUAUAGACGUUUCAUUUUUUAAUUAUUUACCUAACAGUCCGCCAUACUCAAGUUAUGGUCUUCGAGAGGGGGCAUGGGUUCAAAUCCCACUUCUGACAUUAUUAUUGUUUUUUUUACAUUUUUGAUUCAGCCAUCACUGCUUUGAUUCUUUAAAAUAAGUUUAUACUAUAAUGUGUUUUGUUGGAAAUAGCAUCACAAUAACAACCAAAGAUUCUUGCAUAUAAAUUAUCUUGAAUAUGUGCUAGAUUUCAUAAUUGUAUCAUCUUACUUCAAACAUUAAACAUGUACUUAUCUGAGUGGAUGGUUUCACAAGAUGAGUUUAAUUUAUUAUACUCAAAGGUUAGGUAAGAAGCUUUUUUUACCUAUUAAUAACUUAUUGAUUUAGCAGGUUGAAAUACAUACGUAGAAGUUAUAUCUUUUGGUGGUCUUAUUCUUAUGUAUAUUAGAAUGAAUUAGAGAAGCGAGUAUGUAAUCACCUUAUUCUAAAAAAGAAUAAAGAAAUCAUAAAGGGGAUUAUGCUUUCACCCAGAGGCAUUGUUUUAUUGUAAAUACAUAAUUUGACGUAUUUUGAACCAUAUGUGUUUGAAUAAAAUGCCAAAUUUCGACGGAUCCGCUUGGUUCCGUUCUGUUAGUGGAUCGCCCAUACACCCUGCUUCGUUGCAUUCUGUUCCGGCCACGAUCAAGGAGAACAAGGAUCUUGGAAGUGAUAACAGUUUGAUCGGUCAAUUUGGUGUUGGGUUCUGUUCGGUUUUUUUGGUUGCUGAAAAGGUGACUGUCUACAAAGAGUCCCAAAUCAGACAAAAUUUGAGAAGCAUCAACUGAUACUAGCUCAUACGUAAUUAAAGAAGAAACUGACCCCGAAAAGCACCUUUACUUGAAGUUGAUUUUGUUAUCUGUGCUAAAGCCCAAGGCCAAGGGAAGGUUGCUAGAGAGACAAAGACAGCCUGGGCCUUUGGACUAAUGCCGUUCACAUCAGUGGGAACCCCACAUUUUGUUUAUGGCAUAACAAUGCAAGAUAUUUAAAAAGAUUGUGAGUCUGAACUUCAUGAUCACAACUUUUUUGAUGACGUGUUUGCAGCCUUAUAAUCAUCAGCAACCAGUUUCUUUCUAAGCUCACGAAGGGCAUUUUGAAGAUUUAGGUGGAAGAGUUAUGCAAAUGGGAUGGUGCACUUUUGAAGUUGUUGCAAAGUAUUAACGCCAAUCUUUUGUACUACUAUUGUAUCUACCUUGCUUGAUGCAACACAAAAAAACUCUUUAUGUAACUAACAUUAGGCAUCAUGGAUGUGUGUAUGUAAAAGGGUGGUGUUGAUUGUGCUGGGUUAUUUCUUUGA